rnacentral:rRNA from 1 species
UACGAAGGGGGCUAGCGUUGUUCGGAAUUACUGGGCGUAAAGCGUGCGCAGGCGGCUUCUCAAGUCAGGGGUGAAAGCCCAGAGCUCAACUCUGGAAUUGCCUUUGAGACUGAGAGGCUUGAGUACGGGAGAGGUGAGUGGAAUUCCCAGUGUAGAGGUGAAAUUCGUAGAUAUUGGGAAGAACACCAGUGGGCGAAGGCGGCUCACUGGACCGUAACUGACGCUCAUGCACGACAGCGUGGGGAUCAAACAGG